CCCUCUGUAAAGUGAGGGAAUUUAGCUAUGUGCCCUCCCAGGGCUAACAUACAAUGUGACACAAUGAUCGAUAAACAAGAGAGUUAAAAAAGAAAAGAAAGCCAGAGGGUGAAAAAUUAAUUGCGUGUGGGGGGAGGGGAGGGGAGAGCAGAGACACAGAAACAUGGUUCCUGUAGCUAAAGAUUGACAGAUCACACUUGUCUUAACCUGAUGUGACAUUGCACCCUGCUGGCCAUCUGUCCAUGGUCCUUGUGUGACUCCUUGCUCCCUCAUGCCUUCCUCAGUGCUCAGUGGUCACAAUACCCUUAGCUCAGAGUCAUCUCUCAAUGUCAGGAACAGGAAGUGUGCUGGGGGAAGGCGGGGGUGAGUGUCGAGGAAUUUCAUAUCCCCUAGGGUUCCCAAUGCCCAGUGGAAAGGGCAACUGAAACUGGAGAAAAGCACAAAGCACAAGGAACGCCAGAAACCCCCUGGCCCAGUGGCUGCGCUCUAGUAGGUCCUGAGUUUUUAGGUGAAAGUUUCUAUUCAAGCUGAGACCUUUCCUGCAUCGCAGCACUUCCCAGUUUUUGAUCACAACAAAAAUGUGGGACAUCCAAAGACCACUCCAAAGAAACUGAAGACUGGUUCUCGAGGCAUUUCCAACUUGAAGAAAAAGCCUGGCAGAUCUGGGGACCCAUUCUUGGUUACGCCCAGAAGUAGAAUUAACUGGCUAAGCUUGAGAAAACACUGGAACUCUGGCAACUGUUCUAAAUGAGUUUUCUCAUUCCUCUGAGCUUUGCCCAUAGCCACUGUAUGCAUUUGUUGCAAAACUAAUUAUAAAAGAUCUUGAGAGCCAAGGGAAGACUGAUUCAUCUGAUAAGCUAAUAUGAGAGCAUACCUUGGGCCUGGGUUGUAGUAUACUUCCAGGAGGCAUGAUUGAGAAGUUAAAGAAUAAAGGAAAACUCCUCAAUAAAAUAAAACUUCCCCUUGCCUACA